AGGGGUGGGGAAGCUCCCUCCCCCCAGCAGCCCAGCCAGCGGGCACUGCGGGCUCUGAGGGAGCUGCAGGCAAGGACUCUGCCAGGGGCCUUCUCCUCGCCCAUUUACAUUCCUAGCCGGGUGCCUCCAUUCCUAGGUCACUAUCUGCGACCUCAGGCAGGGCUCUUCUCCAGGCGCCUCUGUGAGGCCUCUUUAGGUGGGGAUGAGGGGGGACCACCAAGACACUGCCCCCCUGACUCAGGGCCCAGUGCUCCUCCACUCCCAGCUGUCCUCCUCCACACCCACCCCCUCCUCCUCCCUCCGGGGGGCCCCUCAACACGUGCCCUGCUCCACCUGACCCUCCACAGGUGCACCACUCAUGGGGGAAGACGGAACCGGGGCGUCGGUGCCUUCUCGCUUCUGUCAUCACAGGGAGAACGUGAACACAGAGCAGUCCCCUCCUAGGACACGUGGGGAAAUCACAGGGGUGAGCAUUGGAUGAGCCUUGUCCUGGGGAAACCACCUUUGUGAUCACGGCAUCUCAUCUGCCAGUCUCUUCAAGGUGUGAAAAUUAAUAAAGGGAAACCUUACACAAAAUGAAGUGGGGAGGCCAGAAGGGGGAGCCCUCAGCACUACUGCUCUGCGUCAAUUCCAGGAAAGAUCGUCCGUCACAGGCCCCGGAAGAGACGUCCACUGCCUUCUAGACAAGAAAGACCACCCCAGCAACCCAGCCAACGAGAAACAGUCACCACCCUGAACAAGACCUUGUUUUCCACCAAUGGGCUUCUGUUCAAAACAACCCUCCCAACUUCCUCCUUUUUCUCUAUAAAAUAAACUCCUCCUUUGUGUGCUAGACUUGCCUGUGGCUUUUGCUAUAGCGUGCUUGUCCCAAAUUGCAAUUCCUUUCCUAU